AGAGUUUGAUCCUGGCUCAGGAUGAACGCUAGCUACAGGCUUAACACAUGCAAGUCGAGGGGAAACGAUUAGAGGUGCUUGCACACUAAGGCGUCGACCGGCGCACGGGUGAGUAACGCGUAUCCAACCUGCCCCAUGGUAAGGAAUAAUCCGUAGAAAUGCGGUCUAAUACCUUAUGUGCUCCGAAGAGGACAUCUGAUUUGGAGUAAAGAUUUAUCGCCAUGGGAUGGGGAUGCGUCUGAUUAGAUUGUUGGCGGGGCAACGGCCCACCAAGUCACCGAUCAGUAGGGGUUCUGAGAGGAAAGUCCCCCACAUUGGAACUGAGACACGGUCCAAACUCCUACGGGAGGCAGCAGUGAGGAAUAUUGGUCAAUGGAUGAGAAUCUGAACCAGCCAAGUAGCGUGCAGGACGACGGCCCUAUGGGUUGUAAACUGCUUUUGUACGGGGAUAAAGGAGCUUACGUGUAAGUUUUUGCAGGUACCGUACGAAUAAGGACCGGCUAAUUCCGUGCCAGCAGCCGCGGUAAUACGGAAGGUCCGGGCGUUAUCCGGAUUUAUUGGGUUUAAAGGGAGCGCAGGCUGUCGGUUAAGCGUGUUGUGAAAUGUAGGCGCCCAACGCCUGCACUGCAGCGCGAACUGGCUGACUUGAGUACGCACGACGUUGGCGGAAUUUGCCGUGUAGCGGUGAAAUGCUUAGAUAUGGCGAAGAACUCCGAUUGCGAAGGCAGCUGACGGGAGCGCAACUGACGCUCAUGCUCGAAAGUGCGGGUAUCGAACAGGAUUAGAUACCCUGGUAGUCCGCACGGUAAACGAUGGAUGCCCGCUAUUUGUCCAUUAGGAUAAGUGGCCAAGUGAAAACGUUAAGCAUCCCACCUGGGGAGUACGCCGGCAACGGUGAAACUCAAAGGAAUUGACGGGGGCCCGCACAAGCGGAGGAACAUGUGGUUUAAUUCGAUGAUACGCGAGGAACCUUACCCGGGCUUGAAUUGUGAGAGAAGGAUCCAGAGAUGGUGACCNUCGGGGCUCUCAUGAAGGUGCUGCAUGGUUGUCGUCAGCUCGUGCC
rnacentral:rRNA from 1 species